GGCCUGGUGGUGUAACAGUUAACACACGUGAAAUGGAUGGCCACAUAGAUUGGCUCUUCACGAGUUCUCCGUUCGAUUCAGAGUCUGGUCG